rnacentral:SRP_RNA from 1 species
GCCAGGCAUGGUGGCGCAUGUCUAGUCCCAGCUAUUCAGGAGGUUGAGGCUGGAGGAUCUCUUGAGUCCAGGAGUUCUGGGCUGUAGUGCGCUAUGCCGAUCAGGUGUCCGCACUAAGUUCGGCAUCAAUAUGGUGACCUCCCGGGAGCGGGGGACCACCGGGUUGCCUAAGGAGGGGUGAACUGGCCCAGGUCGGAAACGGAGCAGGUCAAAACUCCCGUGCUGAUCAGUAGUGGAAUCACGCCUGUGAAUAGCCACUGCACUCCAGCCUGGGCAACAUAGCGAGACCUUGUCUCU